rnacentral:sRNA from 1 species
UGGCUCUGUUCCCACAUCCACGCCAGAUUGGGUUGGGAAAUCAGAUGCUGAAUCCAUCGCUAUGUCAUCAUCUUCUACAGGUAGGAUGGGUAUGACAAUGGUUUGCUGAUCAUCAUGAUGUGAGUCCUCAACAUCAGCUGGAACCGAAGGGCUGCAGAUUGGAGUUUAAGAAAAGGCCCAAGUCAAAAAAAAAAGUAAAAGGGUAUGCAAAUGUGUGUUGGAAGAAUAUGUAGGGGUUAGAUACGGACUUUGGAGGAAUAGAUGAUGCGCCAGGAUAAAAUGCUUCAAGAACUCUCAAUUCCCUCUCAUUUUGGGCCUCCACUUCUUUGCUUUCGUCCCCUGCAACCACUUUCCAUUCCCGAUCUAGCAGAAUCUGCAAAAGCACAUGUUAUCUACAGUAUUAGUGCCACUA